UAAGAGAAAAAUCGGACAUUGCGGACGAGUCGGUUCCGAAACGCAUCGAAAGACGCUACGCCAUCUCGGUCUCUCUCGGGUCAAAGUGUCUUCAAGGUUCGACCUGGGAUUCACUCUUCCUCUCUUUUUCUCGCGAUUCCGUCGCUCGGGAGAUGAGUUCAGAGCGUCUUCAAGGUUCCGUCGAAUUGGAUUCUGCCUGUCGAGCGUUAACUUUGCUAUGUCGGAGGAUUUGUGUAAACGUCGAAAUGCUCGUUGUGCUCUGUGCAAAUAUUCAAUUGGCAGAGGGAAAAGGUGCAUGAAAUCAUGAUCUCUUGGUGGCAUGGCGAUACUCAGAGAUGAGUUCCUGCGUUAUGUGAGGAGGGAGAUGGAUAUGAUCUCCUUACCUUCUUUGAUUUAGGAACUUAUGUUGAGCACGGAAGGACUGAGAGUUUUAAGAACUUUUCAGGGGGAUUAAUGACUCCGUUAGCUGUGUUAGGUUAUCUGCAUCUUACGGGGAAGCUAGAGUCGAGAAAAGUAUUCCGUCAGUGUAUGCACUCGUUGUUCUCCUUCAGAGCUCGUUUGAGUCAUUUCUAAGGUGUUGAUGAAUUGCGUUGUUUGGAUUUUUGCACAACAGUUCGGCGGUACACAUAGGGUGGAAUUGCGUCGUGCAGAUGCUUGAGUUCUUGCCCAGGGAAACGUGUCUGUACUUGGUGUUUACUAGUUCUUUAAUUGUUUCGAUGUGAGCUAGCUGGUGUUAUUUUAUUUCGAGGUUGGAUUGUUCAUGCGUGUACGUUUAUGUGUUUAUUUGCUCGUGCAUGUAGAUUGUAGAGCAGUUUUGACCUUCUGUGCCCUCUAAUAGGUAGCACAAUACUACUAUAUCAUGUAGGGCAGCAAUUUGGAGAACAGACCCCUUUGUGAUGUCAAUUGUAUCUGGUGUUUUCAAGAAGUUCUGCAGAGUCAUAGGAGAGAGGCCUUGUUUUUGAGAAGUUAUGCAGAGUUAAUAGUUCAGCAUGUACAGAUGUGCUUGUCAUGACUUCAUAAUUUCACUCGUUACAGUGGUUUUUUUAUCCUGAAAGUUGCAGCACUACAUAGUGCUUUUCUAGUUAUAUAUGACAUUCAUAGGCAGGACUCCAUGCCAAAGAAUCCUGCCAUUUAGGCGAGCUUUUCUAGUUAUUUGUCAAGAGGCUGUAGAAGACUACAGCUUCCAUAACGCACUGUGCUUUUAUUAUUGUAUUGUAGAGGAAAAUUGGUCUGGGACAUUUUAUCUGAUUGUAAUAAUAAUUGGCAGGUUUCAAGUGUCGCAGAUUUUGCAAGAUGCCUGUGAUGAGGGAUCUUAGUGCCACAAAUAGAAGGAGAAGAUCCAUUGUGUGGGAUCACUUUAAAAGGAUUCCUUGUGCAGACAAGAGCAUUAGAGAGUUGUUAACUACAAACAUGGAAUUGAACCUGAUAUUGGAUUCUUUUGACGAUUGACAAAGUUGGAGAUUGGUACUGGUCAAACCAAUUUCUUAUAUUUAUUGUGAAUUUACUUUCUCCAUAUUUUGUAUCAGGGGCUUAAUAACGCUGUAUCAGGGGCUCAGUAACGCUGUCUCCUUCAUUCCCUACUUGCAGGGUGACCUUAGUUGAGCAAGAAAACCAAUGGUGUUUCUGGGUGUGCUCUGUUUCUGGACCAGACCAGAAUAUCAGACAACUAUCUUCUUGAAGACUCAUUCCUUGCUUCUGUUAUAGAUAGUUGGUAGUUGCAUGGAGAGAUGGAACCUAAUAGCAAGUUCUCUCAUGCACGGUAAUCUCACAUGCACAGAGAACUUCGCAUUUUAUGUAUUGUUGUCUUCUUCAUUUCCUACUUGUAGGUCUUGUAACAUUGCUUACUUUUAUAUGUCAGUGGCCUUUACCAGAAAUGUCUAAAUUAUACUACUUAUUUCUGUGCGUGGUUGAUUACUCUCUUCUUGUUCCUCUCUGUAAAUUUACCCAUCCGAUAGGUGAAAAUCCUGUUGAGAGCUAUCUAGUGUUCAUGUUCGCAGCCAGUACACCCAAUGUUGAUAUGCUUAGAGUGAGAACGUCUCUACAUUUAUCU